rnacentral:tRNA from 1 species
UGGUAGCUCAGUUGGUAGAGCAGCGGACUGAAAAUCCGCGUGUCGUUGGUUCGAUUCCGACCCA